rnacentral:rRNA from 1 species
UACGUAGGGGGCAAGCGUUGUCCGGAUUUAUUGGGCGUAAAGAGCGUGUAGGCGGCCAGACAGGUCCGUUGUGAAAACUCGAGGCUCAACCUCGAGACGCCGAUGGAAACCGUCUGGCUAGAGUCUGGAAGAGGAGAGUGGAAUUCCUGGUGUAGCGGUGAAAUGCGCAGAUAUCAGGAAGAACACCCGUGGCUAAGGCGGCUCUCUAGUACGGUACUGACGCUGAGACGCGAAAGCGCGGGGAGCAAACAGG